GGGGCUGUAGCUCAGUGGCAGAGUGCUUGCCUAGCAUGCAUGAAGCACUUGGUUCAAUCCUCAGCAUCA
rnacentral:tRNA from 1 species